rnacentral:rRNA from 1 species
UACAGAGGGGGCAAGCGUUGUUCGGAAUUACUGGGCGUAAAGGGCGCGUAGGCGGCCUUCUAAGUCGAACGUGAAAUCCCCGGGCUCAACCCGGGAACUGCGUCCGAUACUGGGAGGCUUGAAUCCGGGAGAGGGAUGUGGAAUUCCAGGUGUAGCGGUGAAAUGCGUAGAUAUCUGGAGGAACACCGGUGGCGAAGGCGGCAUCCUGGACCGGUAUUGACGCUGAGGCGC